rnacentral:rRNA from 1 species
GGGGAUUAGUGGCGAACGGGUGAGUAACACGUGGGCAAUCUGCCCUGCACUCUGGGACAAGCCCUGGAAACGGGGUCUAAUACCGGAUAUGACUGUCCAUCGCAUGGUGGAUGGUGUAAAGCUCCGGCGGUGCAGGAUGAGCCCGCGGCCUAUCAGCUUGUUGGUGAGGUAGUGGCUCACCAAGGCGACGACGGGUAGCCGGCCUGAGAGGGCGACCGGCCACACUGGGACUGAGACACGGCCCAAACUCCUACGGGAGGCAGCAGUGGGGAAUAUUGCACAAUGGGCGAAAGCCUGAUGCAGCGACGCCGCGUGAGGGAUGACGGCCUUCGGGUUGUAAACCUCUUUCAGCAGGGAAGAAGCGAAAGUGACGGUACCUGCAGAAGAAGCGCCGGCUAACUACGUGCCAGCAGCCGCGGUAAUACGUAGGGCGCAAGCGUUGUCCGGAAUUAUUGGGCGUAAAGAGCUCGUAGGCGGCUUGUCACGUCGGUUGUGAAAGCCCGGGGCUUAACCCCGGGUCUGCAGUCGAUACGGGCAGGCUAGAGUUCGGUAGGGGAGAUCGGAAUUCCUGGUGUAGCGGUGAAAUGCGCAGAUAUCAGGAGGAACACCGGUGGCGAAGGCGGAUCUCUGGGCCGAUACUGACGCUGAGGAGCGAAAGCGUGGGGAGCGAACAGGAUUAGAUACCCUGGUAGUCCACGCCGUAAACGGUGGGCACUAGGUGUGGGCAACAUUCCACGUUGUCCGUGCCGCAGCUAACGCAUUAAGUGCCCCGCCUGGGGAGUACGGCCGCAAGGCUAAAACUCAAAGGAAUUGACGGGGGCCCGCACAAGCGGCGGAGCAUGUGGCUUAAUUCGACGCAACGCGAAGAACCUUACCAAGGCUUGACAUACACCGGAAACGUCUGGAGACAGGCGCCCCCUUGUGGUCGGUGUACAGGUGGUGCAUGGCUGUCGUCAGCUCGUGUCGUGAGAUGUUGGGUUAAGUCCCGCAACGAGCGCAACCCUUGUCCCGUGUUGCCAGCAGGCCCUUGUGGUGCUGGGGACUCACGGGAGACCGCCGGGGUCAACUCGGAGGAAGGUGGGGACGACGUCAAGUCAUCAUGCCCCUUAUGUCUUGGGCUGCACACGUGCUACAAUGGCCGGUACAAUGAGCUGCGAUACCGCGAGGUGGAGCGAAUCUCAAAAAGCCGGUCUCAGUUCGGAUUGGGGUCUGCAACUCGACCCCAUGAAGUCGGAGUCGCUAGUAAUCGCAGAUCAGCAUUGCUGCGGUGAAUACGUUCCCGGGCCUUGUAC